CAUAUCCUAUGUCGCCACAGGAUA
rnacentral:snRNA from 1 species